rnacentral:rRNA from 1 species
AUGAACGCUGGCGGCGUGCCUAAUACAUGCAAGUCGAGCGAACGGACGAGAAGCUUGCUUCUCUGAUGUUAGCGGCGGACGGGUGAGUAACACGUGGAUAACCUACCUAUAAGACUGGGAUAACUUCGGGAAACCGGAGCUAAUACCGGAUGAUAUUUUGAACCGCAUGGUUCAAAAGUGAAAGACGGUCUUGCUGUCACUUAUAGAUGGAUCCGCGCUGCAUUAGCUAGUUGGUAAGGUAACGGCUUACCAAGGCAACGAUGCAUAGCCGACCUGAGAGGGUGAUCGGCCACACUGGAACUGAGACACGGUCCAGACUCCUACGGGAGGCAGCAGUAGGGAAUCUUCCGCAAUGGGCGAAAGCCUUACGGAGCAACGCCGCGUGAGUGAUGAAGGUCUUCGGAUCGUAAAACUCUGUUAUUAGGGAAGAACAUAUGUGUAAGUAACUGUGCACAUCUUGACGGUACCUAAUCAGAAAGCCACGGCUAACUACGUG